rnacentral:lncRNA from 1 species
ACACUCAAUUAUUUCCCUUGUAAAUUGUGAACCCCGGCCUGCUCUGCACUUCCCAGCUCUAUGACAUAGGAAAUUAAUUAUAUAUAAGCAAGGUAAAUUUUCUGUUAGAGAUAAAACAAUCCUAGCUGAUAAAGUACUAACUACAGGGAGUUGUAAAGCAAACACUGGGAAAGGAGGUUAUCAAAGAACCAGCUAUCAGCAGCUGUAGCUUUUUGUAAGCUCCCAUAUUCGCCAUCAUGAAUCAUUUCUUUUAAUAUUAUGUGCUUUCCCAUAUAUUGGGAUUGAUUCAAUAUAUUCUUCCAAUUGUCAACCUAGGAGAGCAGAGGUAGAGCUGUAAUGGUGGUGAUAAGUCUGGAGAACAGUGUCUUCCGGAAGCCAUAGACCAUCUUUAUAGGAGUAGACAUGCAAUAGAAGUGUGUCUUUAGAAAUACACUCUAGAAUUAAGUUCCCAGUUUACACAGGCAGACUGUUCAACAAAACCUUACCAAUGUUAGAGAUCAGAGCAAGGUAAAAUUAAGAGGUGAGGUCAAGAGAAGUAUCUUUAGAAAGAGAAACAAAAGACAGACAUUAAUGAUUACCCUUUGCUGUUUCAUAUAGUGAAAUAAUCCAUUUGAUUAUGUGACAUCACUGCUGUUUUAGCCAACCAUGUGUUUGUAUUCAGCAUUCAGCUAUACUAGCCUAUUUCUAGUUAUAGCCCUCUGCAUACACUAUAGUUAGGUUUUUAUAUGAAUUAAAGGUCUAUGACUGACAAUAUGUCAGUAUCUAAAACAAAAGUUACUUCUGUUGUAAUGUGAUAAGAUGGACAGUGUUAAUCAGUGUUUAAAAUGACAUCAGCAUGUGCCAGAAGCUGUGAGUGGUCUCUAAAAGAUUGUUGUCAUAUAGCAGUUUCAGGGAGUUCAGCUUACAUCAAAAUAAUUUCUUCCUGUACAAUACCUUUUCAACUAUAUGAACAGAUAAUUACCUAAUUUAAUACCUAAUUUAAGGGGAAAUAUCUAUUUCCAUUCUGUAUUAUAUUUACAUUAAAUAUGUAAUGUAUGUUCAUUUAGCAGUAUGGAAAUAAAGAUCUUUAAGUUUGGUUCAGUAAUCUCAUUUCCUGAUGAUUCAAUUACUAACAAGUAAAUUAGAUAGGUGAAAUGGCACUAAGUGUCACAGCGUAUGUAGUAAUAAGCAAAAUUAGCACAAGUGCCCCUUAGGAAGGGCGAAUAAACUGUUCUACUUUUACAUUACAGGCUGUUUCCAAGCUAAUGAAUUGCUGUCACAUUUUCAAAUUGAAUGAAUUAAUUCAGAACAACUAUAUACUUAACUGUAUAUUUUUGGAUUAUUAUUGUUUGUAUUUUGAGUUAUAAAACAAAUGCACUGAAAUGUUUAUCUCAUGUUUGUCUCGUGUAACAGGAUCAUGCGUGAGUUUUUUUGAUGCCUUCUGUUUAUCAAAAUUUCUUUAAUGGUAUGAAUUACUUUCAAAAUGUUAGAAGCAAUAAACUUACUUUGAAAAACUG